rnacentral:rRNA from 1 species
UACGUAGGGUGCAAGCGUUGUCCGGAAUUAUUGGGCGUAAAGAGCUCGUAGGCGGUUUGUCGCGUCGGCUGUGAAAACCCGGGGCUCAACCCCGGGCCUGCAGUCGAUACGGGCAAACUAGAGUGUGGUAGGGGAGACUGGAAUUCCUGGUGUAGCGGUGAAAUGCGCAGAUAUCAGGAAGAACACCAAUGGCGAAAGCAGCUUUCUGGGACGGUACUGACGCUGAGACGCGAAAGCGUGGGGAGCGAACAGG